GUUUGUAUCAUGGCUCAGUAUUGAACGCUGGCGGCAUGCCUUACACAUGCAAGUCGAACGGCAGCACGGACUUCGGUCUGGUGGCGAGUGGCGAACGGGUGAGUAAUGCAUCGGAACGUACCCGGAAGUGGGGGAUAACUAUCCGAAAGGAUGGCUAAUACCGCAUAUUCUGUGCGCAGGAAAGAGGGGGAUCUUCGGACCUCUUGCCUUCGGAGCGGCCGAUGUCAGAUUAGCUAGUUGGUGGGGUAAAGGCCUACCAAGGCGACGAUCUGUAGCGGGUCUGAGAGGAUGAUCCGCCACACUGGAACUGAGACACGGUCCAGACUCCUACGGGAGGCAGCAGUGGGGAAUUUUGGACAAUGGGCGCAAGCCUGAUCCAGCCAUGCCGCGUGAGUGAAGAAGGCCUUCGGGUUGUAAAGCUCUUUCGGCCGGGAAAAAAUCGGUGAGGCUAAUAUCUUCAUCGGAUGAUGGUACCUGAAGAAUAAGCACCGGCUAACUACGUGCCAGCAGCCGCGGUAAUACGUAAGGUGCAAGCGUUUAUCGGAAUUACUGGGCGUAAAGCGUGCGCAUGCGGUCUUGCUAGACAGAUGUGAAAUCCGCG
rnacentral:rRNA from 1 species